UUUUAUUCUUACGAUGUGAAAAGUUGUUGGUAUUUAAAUGUACAGUAUAUCUCUUAGAGGGUCAUUCUGCAUAACUACAGCAGUAGUACAGAAACUGGAAGAUUAAAGUGGUGGAAAGUGGUGAAGAGCUGCAACUUAAAAGCUUGAGUAGCUGGUUCCCUUCAGAUAUUUCAACCUUAGCAGCUGAAGAAGGGGAGAAAAAAGGACAAUGAUAAGAAGUCAAACAUGCAGAAAGCAGUCUGUGACAGAAAAUUGGACUAGUUGGGUCGCUGGUUCCAACAAACUGUGUUGAAAUUUUAAUGUCAAAAGAGAGGUGUUUCAUUAAGUGCCUCAUCCGGAUGCUCAUAUCAGGACUCCAGUAUCUGACAAAGACGACAUUGAUGGUUAACCUAAACCCAGGUUUCAAAACAUCCUCUCUGAAAUGUCUAGUGUGCACCCCAUGCCCUGAAGCCAGAGGGAUUUCACCAGCGUCCAGCCGAGGACUGCGCUGGCACGGCCUCAAUGACCUCCAGUCUCCAGGCAACUGCCUCGGAGAAGAAGAAUGGUGUGUUUUGGAAGUUUCAGAAGUCACAAGGAAAAAGGGACUCCGACCAGCUGGAGCCCCCCCCCCAGUAACCAAAGUAAUUGUUUGGCAUGUUAGCUGACAGAAAAACAAUGUUGUAGAUUCUGUAACAACAACUGAAGGCUUGCUACAAAUCAGGAACACUCUGCCAGAUUCAUGCUGAUUCAUUUGCUAUGAUAUUUAAUUCAUAAUGCAUGAUUGAAAUAUCAUCAGCCUCCUGUAUAGCUGCAUAUCUAUUAUCAAUACGGUAUGUUCUAUUGAAUGUUUCUUUUUCAAAGUAGGUUAUUUUUUUUGACAAACGUGAAACUUGCCUCACUUUAAACAAACAUAUGAUAUGACAUAUGACAAAUAUUGUACAUUUUACUGCACUAUAUUUAUUUGAUAGCUAUAGUUACAGCAGUAGCCUACGUUAAGAUCAAUAUUUUACGUACAAAGUACUCAGUAUUAACAGCUAAAAAUAAAAUGCUGCAUGAGCAAGUAAACAUAGUGCUCCAAAAUUUAAUAUAGGAAGAAAACGUAAAUUUGAAUUUCAUAGUAUUAGGAAAUUAUUUUUGACAUCUCCUACAUUUGCUCUGUGCAGUAAAUCUUGUCAACAUAAUGUCAUAUUACAACUGGUGCUGACAUGCGUGCAUGUGUGUGUGUGUGCAUGCGUUGAUCUGAUCUGCCUUUAUCAAUAACUGUACAGCCUGUUGUGUCAAGGGAACAUUAUCAGUGUCUUUAUUGCUUUACUAAAAGAUGAACUUCAGUGACAAAAUAAAGCAACUGGUUGGCUGUUUGCAGUGGUGGGAAGUACAAUUUGGUACUUGGUUAGAGUAUUUCCAUUUUAUGCUACUUAUACUUCUAUACAUUUAUGGGGGAAACAAUGUUGUACUUUUUAUGCCACUACAUAUUCCACAGCUUUAGCUAAUCGUUAUUUUGCAGAACAAGAUUUUACAUACAGAUCAUUGUCAUCUAAAGCUAUAAAAUAUUAUACGUUCAACAAUUGCUUACUUUUGAGACUUUAAGAACA